rnacentral:rRNA from 1 species
AAAAGCACCCCGGAAGGGGAGUGAAAUAGAACCUGAAACCGUGUGCUUACAAGUAGUCAGAGCCCGUUAAUGGGUGAUGGCGUGCCUUUUGUAGAAUGAACCGGCGAGUUACGAUUUGAUGCAAGGUUAAGCAGUAAAUGUGGAGCCGUAGCGAAAGCGAGUCUGAAUAGGGCGUUUAGUAUUUGGUCGUAGACCCGAAACCAGGUGAUCUACCCUUGGUCAGGUUGAAGUUCAGGUAACACUGAAUGGAGGACCGAACCGACUUACGUUGAAAAGUGAGCGGAUGAACUGAGGGUAGCGGAGAAAUUCCAAUCGAACCUGGAGAUAGCUGGUUCUCUCCGAAAUAGCUUUAGGGCUAGCCUCAAGUGAUGAUUAUUGGAGGUAGAGCACUGUUUGGACGAGGGGCCCCUCUCGGGUUACCGAAUUCAGACAAACUCCGAAUGCCAAUUAAUUUAACUUGGGAGUCAGAACAUGGGUGAUAAGGUCCGUGUUCGAAAGGGAAACAGCCCAGACCACCAGCUAAGGUCCCAAAAUAUAUGUUAAGUGGAAAAGGAUGUGGCGUUGCCCAGACAACUAGGAUGUUGGCUUAGAAGCAGCCAUCAUUUAAAGAGUGCGUAAUAGCUCACUAGUCGAGUGACACUGCGCCGAAAAUGUACCGGGGCUAAACAUAUUACCGAAGCUGUGGAUUGUCCUUUGGACAAUGGUAGGAGAGCGUUCUAAGGGCGUUGAAGCAUGAUCGUAAGGACAUGUGGAGCGCUUAGAAGUGAGAAUGCCGGUGUGAGUAGCGAAAGACGGGUGAGAAUCCCGUCCACCGAUUGACUAAGGUUUCCAGAGGAAGGCUCGUCCGCUCUGGGUUAGUCGGGUCCUAAGCUGAGGCCGACAGGCGUAGGCGAUGGAUAACAGGUUGAUAUUCCUGUACCACCUAUAAUCGUUUUAAUCGAUGGGGGGACGCAGUAGGAUAGGCGAAGCGUGCGAUUGGAUUGCACGUCUAAGCAGUAAGGCUGAGUAUUAGGCAAAUCCGGUACUCGUUAAGGCUGAGCUGUGAUGGGGAGAAGACAUUGUGUCUUCGAGUCGUUGAUUUCACACUGCCGAGAAAAGCCUCUAGAUAGAAAAUAGGUGCCCGUACCGCAAACCGACACAGGUAGUCAAGAUGAGAAUUCUAAGGUGAGCGAGCGAACUCUCGUUAAGGAACUCGGCAAAAUGACCCCGUAACUUCGGGAGAAGGGGUGCUCUUUAGGGUUAACGCCCAGAAGAGCCGCAGUGAAUAGGCCCAAGCGACUGUUUAUCAAAAACACAGGUCUCUGCUAAACCGUAAGGUGAUGUAUAGGGGCUGACGCCUGCCCGGUGCUGGAAGGUUAAGAGGAGUGGUUAGCUUCUGCGAAGCUACGAAUCGAAGCCCCAGUAAACGGCGGCCGUAACUAUAACGGUCCUAAGGUAGCGAAAUUCCUUGUCGGGUAAGUUCCGACCCGCACGAAAGGCGUAACGAUUUGGGCACUGUCUCAACGAGAGACUCGGUGAAAUCAUAGUACCUGUGAAGAUGCAGGUUACCCGCGACAGGACGGAAAGACCCCGUGGAGCUUUACUGUAGCCUGAUAUUGAAAUUCGGCACAGCUUGUACAGGAUAGGUAGGAGCCUUUGAAACGUGAGCGCUAGCUUACGUGGAGGCGCUGGUGGGAUACUACCCUAGCUGUGUUGGCUUUCUAACCCGCACCACUUAUCGUGGUGGGAGACAGUGUCAGGCGGGCAGUUUGACUGGGGCGGUCGCCUCCUAAAAGGUAACGGAGGCGCUCAAAGGUUCCCUCAGAAUGGUUGGAAAUCAUUCAUAGAGUGUAAAGGCAUAAGGGAGCUUGACUGCGAGACCUACAAGUCGAGCAGGGUCGAAAGACGGACUUAGUGAUCCGGUGGUUCCGCAUGGAAGGGCCAUCGCUCAACGGAUAAAAGCUACCCCGGGGAUAACAGGCUUAUCUCCCCCAAGAGUUCACAUCGACGGGGAGGUUUGGCACCUCGAUGUCGGCUCAUCGCAUCCUGGGGCUGUAGUCGGUCCCAAGGGUUGGGCUGUUCGCCCAUUAAAGCGGUACGCGAGCUGGGUUCAGAACGUCGUGAGACAGUUCGGUCCCUAUCCGUCGUGGGCGUAGGAAAUUUGAGAGGAGCUGUCCUUAGUACGAGAGGACCGGGAUGGACAUACCUCUGGUGUACCAGUUGUCGUGCCAACGGCAUAGCUGGGUAGCUAUGUGUGGACGGGAUAAGUGCUGAAAGCAUCUAAGCAUGAAGCCCCCCUCAAGAUGAGAUUUCCCAACUUCGGUUAUAAGAUCCCU